AACUCUUCUGAAGUUGACCUCGAAUCAGGUAGGAAUACCCGCUGAACUUAAGCAUAUCAAUAAGCGGAGGAAAAGAAACCAACAGGGAUUGCCCCAGUAACGGCGAGUGAAGCGGCAACAGCUCAAAUUUGAAAUCUGGCUCUCGGGCCCGAGUUGUAAUUUGUAGAGGAUGCUUUUGGUGAGGUGCCUUCCGAGUUCCCUGGAACGGGACGCCAUAGAGGGUGAGAGCCCCGUCUGGUUGGACGCCGAACCUCUGUAAAGCUCCUUCGACGAGUCGAGUAGUUUGGGAAUGCUGCUCUAAAUGGGAGGUAUAUGUCUUCUAAAGCUAAAUACCGGCCAGAGACCGAUAGCGCACAAGUAGAGUGAUCGAAAGAUGAAAAGAACUUUGAAAAGAGAGUUAAACAGUACGUGAAAUUGUUGAAAGGGAAGCGCUUGUGACCAGACUUGGGCUUGGUUGAUCAUCCGGGGUUCUCCCCGGUGCACUCUUCCGGCCUAGGCCAGCAUCAGUUCGCCCUGGGGGAUAAAGGCUUCGGGAACGUGGCUCUCUCCGGGGAGUGUUAUAGCCCGCUGCGUAAUACCCUGUGGCGGACUGAGGUUCGC
rnacentral:rRNA from 1 species